CAUACGGAGUCUUUUUUGAGAAAACAACGCUAUAGGCAACCCGAUUUUGAGAGGAAAAGAAUCGGCCGAUUGCUGAAGAACUUGGAUAGAAGAACAAACAUUAAUCAGCCUUGAAGAUGGUAUGAAUAUCGUGUAUACUUGUGCCUCUUGCAUUGUUCAUAUGGCACAAGUUAAUACAGCCCUUCAUUGAUCGAUGGUAUGGCGUGAAGAAGAUCCAAGGUCUCCCGGAGAAAGACAAAGUAAAGGAUGGUGGUGGAGAAAUAAAAGAAAUAAAGGAAGAAGUGUCUUCUAAGGUGGAAGAUGGGUUACUUGCUGAUGGGCAUGCAAAGAGUGACUGAUCUCAAGUGCUUGGGCAUAUAAUAGGUCCUCUUCAGUGGAUGACUUAAUGAAGGCUUGUGAUAAAAUCCUAAGCUUUUAUGGAAAAUCACAAGUAUGAUGAACUGUCAACCAGAAGGGCCAUUUAUUUGGAUAUUUUGCACUAGUGUCUAUUAUUAUUUAUUAUUUGCAAUCAUAAUCACUUUAUACAGAUAUUCCUUUGAUGCAAACAAAUGUUUAAAAAAAAUGGCUAGAAAUAUUUGGAGGAAUGAUAAAGAUUAAUUUCCAGACUCAUUUUGUAAUUGGAAGACUGAAUGUUAGUGUAUUACAGUGGAACCUGGAUUUUAACCGCCUAAAGGGGAAGCUCUGGAAAAUAAAUAGCCCUCUAAGAGGGGGCUCUGAAUUUU